rnacentral:rRNA from 1 species
ACAGCCAUACCAUGCUGAAUAUACCGGUUCUCGUUAGAUCACCGAAGUCAAGCAUCAUUGGGCGCGGUCAGUACAGGUGGGUGGGUGACCACCUGGGGAACACCGCGUGCUGUU